UUGGCUGCUGCUUGGCCUAACUGUACUUGUGCUGCUGCUAUGUGCUACUAUAUGUUGUUGGUUGCCUCCUUGGUUAUUUGUGAAUCUGAAAACACUUUGUGAGAAGCACAGAUUGAAGAGAAGGCUAUGAGCCAAUGAGAAGAGCUUCAUUUUCAGUUUUUUAAGAAUUGAUGAAGGACGUGUCAUAUGUUCAGUUGCUAACAUUCUCUCUAUGGUGUAUGCACUUGUUGUUCAUUGCAUUGGAGGGAGAGGAAAACUCUUUGUGAGAAGCAAGGAUUGAAGAGAAGGCUAUGAGCCAGGAGAGGACAACAAGAGUAAGAAAGUCUUGCGGCGUGAAGGCAGUAGCACCCAGCGCCAAGUCAAGCGCAUUGGCCUCGAUGGCAAGAGACCAGUACCAUCAGGUUCGCUUGACUGCUUGCUAGCCCGACAUUGAACAAUACCCUUAAUAAAGCUACAUGGUGGACGCUAAUUGUCAUAUUUU